rnacentral:rRNA from 1 species
UACGAGUGCCUCAAGCGUUAUCCGGAAUUAUUGGGCGUAAAGGGUGUGUAAGCGGCUUUGUUAGUCUCCUGUGAAAAAUCUCGGCUCAACCGAGGGGACGCAGGGGAAACGGCAUCGCUCGAGUACGAGAGAGGUUUGCAGAACUCAUGGUGUAGGGGCGAAAUCCGUUGAUAUCAUGGGGAAUACCGAAAGCGAAGGCAGCAAACUGGCUCGUCACUGACGCCGAAACACGAAAGCGUGGGUAGCGAAUGGG